rnacentral:tRNA from 2 species
UCCUGGUUAGCCCCUGUGGUAGAACGUUCCAUUGGAAAUGGAGAGGUCCCUGGUUCGAUACCAGGACUAGGCG